rnacentral:rRNA from 1 species
GUGUCAGCAGCCGCGGUAAGACGAACCGUGCGAACGUUGUUCGGAAUCACUGGGCUUAAAGGGCGCGUAGGCGGGCUGCCGAGUCCGGGGUGAAAUCCUCCCGCUCAACGGGAGAACGGCCCCGGGUACUGGCGGCCUCGAGGCGGGUAGGGGCGUGCGGAACACUGGGUGGAGCGGUGAAAUGCGUUGAUAUCCAGUGGAACUCCGGUGGCGAAGGCGGCACGCUGGACCCGUCCUGACGCUGAGGCGCGAAAGCCAGGGGAGCGAACGGGAUUAGAUACCCCAGUAGUCC